GGCAGAGUUCUUGGGUGAUGCACCCUGGAAUCCGGUUCCCUCCUCUCUGGUUCCGGGUGCAUCACCCGAGAACCACA
rfam:Myotis brandtii contig229135, whole genome shotgun sequence.